CCUUCCCACAGCUGCUGCCCUCCUCCUCCUCCACCCGGCUGGCCUCCAUCACAGACUUCUCCCCGGAGUGGUCGUACCCCGAGGGUGGAGUCAAGGUUCUGAUCACCGGACCCUGGAGCGAGCCGAGCGGCCGAUACUCCUGCGUGUUUGAUCAGAGCGCCGUCCCCGCCUCCUUGAUCCAGCCCGGAGUGCUGCGCUGCUACUGCCCAGCCCACGAGGCCGGCCUGGUGUGUCUGCAGGUUCUGGAGUCCGGAGGCUCCGUGUCUUCGUCGGUUCUGUUUGAGUACCGAGCCCGGAACGCCAGCUCUUUGCCCAGCUCCCAGCUGGACUGGCUCUCAUUGGACGGUCAGUAACCCCCCUCUCCGAUGAGAAGC